GAUUUUGCCUAUCACAAUCCCAGUUUUCAAAUAUUUAAACGAAAUAUGGAUGCUUGUGAAGCAACCAACGGCACUUGCGGUGUGGAUGUUAAGACUAUAAAAGAAAUGCUAUGGCCUCAGUGUGACGAGAUAUUUUCUAAUAUUCAAUUCAAUGGUAGACAUUAUGACAACUGCAACAUUUUUUUCAAACGAAAAAUAGUUCUUGGUGCCGGUGUGUGUUACAUGGCGAACUCAAUUUCCUUCUAUAAUUUAGAUUGGGAUCGAUUGCCAUUGACUUACUCUGCAAACGAUAAAAACAGCAAACUCACUUUUGAUAUAACUCAAAGGAAAAAUUAUAUUUUUGUG